CCUACGGGAGGCAGCAGUGAGGAAUAUUGGUCAAUGGCCGUAAGGCUGAACCAGCCAAGUCGCGUGAAGGAAGAAGGAUCUAUGGUUUGUAAACUUCUUUUAUAGGGGAAUAAAGGUAUCCACGUGUGGAUAUUUGCAUGUACCCUAUGAAUAAGCAUCGGCUAACUCCGUGCCAGCAGCCGCGGUAAUACGGAGGAUGCGAGUGUUAUCCGGAUUUAUUGGGUUUAAAGGGUGCGUAGGUCGUUUUUUAAGUCAGCGGUGAAAGUUUGUGGCUCAACCAUAAAAUUGCAGUUGAUACUGGAAGGCUUGAGUGUGUUAGAGGUAGGCGGAAUGCGAGGUGUAGCGGUGAAAUGCAUAGAGAUCACGAAGAACUCCGAUUGCGAAGGCAGCUUACUAAGCCAUAACUGACACUGAGGCACGAAAGCGUGGGGAUCAAACAGGAUUAGAUACCCCGGUAGUC
rnacentral:rRNA from 1 species